rnacentral:rRNA from 1 species
AUUGAACGCUGGCGGCAGGCCUAACACAUGCAAGUCGAACGAGUGGCGGACGGGUGAGUAAUGUCUGGGAAACUGCCUGGUGGUGGGGGAUAACUACUGGAAACGGUCGCUAAUACCGCAUACCAUCAGAUGUGCCCAGAUGGGCUUAGCUGGUGGGUGGGGUAACGGCUCACCAAGGCGACGAUCCCUAGCUGGUCUGAGAGGAUGACCAGCCACACUGGAACUGAGACACGGUCCAGACUCCUACGGGAGGCAGCAGUGGGGAAUAUUGCACAAUGGGCGAAAGCCUGAUACAGCCAUGCCGCGGGUAUGAAGAAGGCCUUCGGGUUGUAAAGUACUUUAAGCUGGGAGGCGUUACCAACAGAAGAAGCACCGGCUAACUCCGUGCCAGCAGCCGCGGUAAUUC